rnacentral:rRNA from 1 species
AUACGGAGGGGGCUAGCGUUGUUCGGAAUUACUGGGCGUAAAGCGCACGUAGGCGGAUUAAAAAGUUAGAGGUGAAAUCCCAGGGCUUAACCCUGGAACUGCCUUUAAAACUAGUAGUCUAGAGUUCGAGAGAGGUGAGUGGAAUUCCAAGUGUAGAGGUGAAAUUCGUAGAUAUUUGGAGGAACACCAGUGGCGAAGGCGGCUCACUGGCUCGAUACUGACGCUGAGGUGCGAAAGCGUGGGGAGCGAACAGGAUUAGAAACCCGGGUAGUCC